rnacentral:rRNA from 1 species
AUUGAACGCUGGCGGCAGGCCUAACACAUGCAAGUCGAGCGGAGCGGCGGACGGGUGAGUAAUGCCUAGGAAUCUGCCUGGUAGUGGGGGAUAACGUACGGAAACGGGCGCUAAUACCGCAUAAUAUCAGCUGCGCCAAGGUCGGUUGAGCUAGUUGGUGGGGUAAAGGCCUACCAAGUCGACGAUCCGUAACUGUUCUGAGAGGAUGAUCAGUAACACUGGAACGGAGACAUGGUCCAUACUCCUACGGGAGGCAGCAGUGGGGAAUAUUGGACAAUGGGCGAAAGCCUGAUCCAGCCAUGCCGCGUGUGUGAAGAAGGUCUUCGGAUUGUAAAGCACUUUAAGUUGUGAGGCGUUACCAACAGAAUAAGCACCGGCUAACUUCGUGCCAGCAGCCGCGGUAAUAC